CAAUUACAGUCCGUUGAAAAAAAAAAGAUAUGGGAGAGACAAAAAAGGAAAAAGAAUAAUCAGAAUAGACAAAUGAUUUUACACACUAAUUUCAUCCCGAUUCCCACCAACGCGGGAAAUUAUGGUUAACCCAUUUCUUGAUGGAAUCGGAUAAUUCCCAAUCGAUUGGGACUAUGAGUCCACAGGAAACUUCGCCAUUACUGAAAACUCAAGACAGGUGUGAGCAAGGCGAAGACGAUCUAGGCAGAAUUAAAGUGGAUUAGGGAGUUCGAGAGAUUCAUAAGCUUCACUCGAUGAAUAGAUAGGGGAAGAGAAAGAGGAAGAGGGCCAGGCAAAUUCAAUUCAACGGAUUGGAAAUGGAGAUUUCCGGUUUCAAUAACAAAUGGGUAUCAACAGUAGCCAGCGUAUGGAUUCAGUGCACCAGUGGGUCUCUCUACACCUUCUCCAUCUACUCGCAAACCCUCAAGUCAACUCAGGGUUACGAUCAGUCCACUUUGGAUAUCGUUUCUGUCUUCAAAGACAUCGGUGUCAAUUGCGGCGUCCUCGCGGGCUUUCUCUACUACUAUGCCACCGCUGAUGGUGGUGGUAGUCGGCCGUGGAUUGUUCAUUUAGCCGGUGCAAUUCAGUGCUUCUUGGGUUAUUUCCUUAUGUGGGCUGCCGUUGCUGGCGUCUUUCCUCGCCCGCCGCUUCCCGCUAUGUGCUUUUUCAUGUUGGUGGCUGCUCAUGCUCAAAGCUUCUUCAACACGGCUAACGUUGUAACUGGCGUUCGGAAUUUCCCCAGUUAUAGUGGGACGAUUGUCGGAAUCAUGAAGGGGUUUCUUGGUUUGAGUGGAGCAAUAUUGAUUCAAGUAUACGAGACAAUAUUUAAUGAACAACCUACUUCGUUUCUUCUAAUGCUGGCACUGCUUCCGACCCUUAAUUCCUUAUUGUUCAUGUGGUUUGUGAGAAUUCACAAUGCAGACGAUGAAGUUGAUAAAAAGCAUCUAAAUUCCCUAUCCAUAGUUACUCUGUUCCUUGCUACUUACCUUAUGCUCAAGAUAGUUCUAGAGCAUAUUUUCACUUUCCAGUUCCCUCUACAAGUUGCUUCAUUUAUUCUACUUUUGAUAUUGCUUGCUUCUCCUCUAUAUGUUGCAAUUAGAGCCCAGCAGAGAGAAUCCAGAAAGAUUUUGCACCCUUCUGUUACUGAGAGUGAUCAGCUGAUUAGUCGCUCCAAUCAAGAGAGCGAGGAUUUCGACAAUGAACGGAGAAGGGAGUCUGAAGAAAGCCUGAACCUCUUUCAAGCUUUAUACACCAUAGACUUCUGGAUAUUAUUUUUUGCAACAGCUUGUGGCAUGGGAACAGGGUUAGCCACAGUGAAUAAUAUCAGCCAGAUAGGAUUAUCUCUUGGUUACACAAGCUUGGAGACAACUAUUUUGGUUUCCCUGUGGAGCAUCUGGAAUUUUUUUGGUCGUUUAGGAGCUGGAUAUGUAUCGGAUUAUUUUCUCCAUGCCAAAGGGUGGGCUAGGCCAUUAUUCAUGUUCAUCACUCUGGCAACCAUGAGCAUUGGACAUGUAGUGAUUGCCUCUGGUCUGCCUGGUGCUCUUUUCGCUGGUUCGGUGCUAGUGGGUGUUUGUUAUGGGUCUCAAUGGUCAUUAAUGCCAACAAUUACCUCUGAAAUAUUUGGUGUUGUACACAUGGGUACUAUAUUCAAUGCCAUUACAAUAGCAAGCCCUGUUGGAUCUUAUAUAUUUUCAGUUAGAGUUAUUGGGUAUAUGUAUGACAAAGAAGCAUCAGGUGAAGGAGGUACUUGUACUGGAACUUACUGCUUCAUGUUAUCAUUUCUGAUUAUGGCUUUUGCCACCCUUUUGGGCUCUUUGGCAGCCCUUGGCUUAUUUUUCCGGAGAAGAAGUUUCUACGAUCAAGUUGUUUUUAGAAGGCUGCAACACUCAUCGAGUGGAUAAAGGAGUAAAUACUACAUACGACAUACAAAGUGAAAUAUGGAGGUUUUCCUGGUCACUGCUAAUAAGGAGUUCCAAUUCACUUCUACCUGUUUGCCUUUUUUCGGCUGAGAACGGGGCGGUCGAGCUAUUGUUCCACUGGUAAACUUAUGGAAUGAUGCAUUGUAGAUUCUAGUAUUUUUGUUUUGGUAUUCUGAAAUGUUAGUUUCUUCUUCCUCUUGUUAUCUCCUUUUCUCCUUUUGUUGUGUCAUGGGCGUCUUUCUAUUUUCUUCCUGAUGUCUAUUUUUAGCAACUUUUUAUCUAAGUAAGUUUAUAAUCUAUUAUUUGAUAUUUAGUAAUAUAUGUCGCAAUACAUAUCACACAUAAGCAUAACCUAUUAGCCUAUGUGCUUCGUGUCACAACCAUACUAUGAAGAGAGUAGGUUGUGACAUGACGACCGCGACACUUCACACCUUAAAAAGAGUAAAAGAAGGUUUUCUUGAAUGUAUUCUUUUGAACAUUACUCAAGUAAGUAACCAUUUAACCAUUUAUGUUACCACCCUUUUUAUGAAGUCAUUGUAGCAUCUCGAAUUCUUCAGGUCCCAGCAUUCGUCCGAGUCAGAGGACUCCUAUCUUGAAAGCAGAAUCAAAAUUGUCUCUGCUAACAUCUGCAGUGCCCGCCCGUCCUACACAUAUGCUGUCGUGAAGCAAGAACCAGCCAGAAUGGAUGACUCUUACCUGGCUUUCUGGAUGACAAGAAAUCCCCUAGCUCACUUGAUUGGGGACAGAGUCAGUGUUCAUCAAGUGCAAGAGAGAGGAGCUUCAAUCUUCUAGGAUUCGAUCGACCGUGUUACUGUUGCUUUCGUAGUUGGAAGCCUACCAUUUAUUCAUUGAGUUGAAAAAGAAGAAAAGAAGCUUAAGCUAUGGCAGUAAGAAGCUGUAAUUUGAGGGGAGGACAUAAAUAUCUGCAGAUCUUGUUUGCUGCUCGGCUUGUUCUUCGAGUCUCGCUUCUUCCUUCCUCUCUUACCCCGAUCUACCGACCAAUGUAAAUAGUUGGCAGCUCUACUGCCUGAUAACGUGAAGAAGUGGGCAUCAAAUAAAUGUGUUGAUCAUGUAUAGGAAUAUGAAAUCUGCACCAGGUGAUGGGCAAAUGAAGCAACAGUUUACAAAAGUUGUUUGCCACA